rnacentral:snoRNA from 1 species
UCACGAUGAUGAAAAUUGGUUCCUUAACAUUCGCAGUUUCCACGGUAGUGGUACGCUUAAGAACCCAUCUUUAGUACCAUCGGUGACCGCUCAUUUAUUGAGACCUUCCUAGGAUGUCUGAGUGU